UACGUAGGGCGCAAGCGUUGUCCGGAAUUAUUGGGCGUAAAGAGCUCGUAGGCGGUUUGUUGCGUCGGCUGUGAAAUCCCGAGGCUCAACCUCGGGUCUGCAGUCGAUACGAGCAAACUAGAGUGUUGCAGGGGAGACUGGAAUUCCUGGUGUAGCGGUGAAAUGCGCAGAUAUCAGGAGGAACACCGGUGGCGAAGGCGGGUCUCUGGGCAUUAACUGACGCUGAGGAGCGAAAGCAUGGGGAGCGAACAGG
rnacentral:rRNA from 1 species